CGGCCCCGUAUCGGAGAAGGCAGGUCAUUCCUGGUCUUCUUCAUCAGUAUGUCGGAGAUGUCCUCGAUGAAAUCGGUGUUCCAGUCCUCGGGGGCCCUC
rnacentral:tRNA from 1 species